rnacentral:tRNA from 1 species
GCCUGGUUGGCUCAGUGGGUAAAGCAUGUGACUCGUGAUCUUGGGGUUGUGAGUUCAAGCCCCACGUUGGGUA